rnacentral:misc_RNA from 1 species
GCAAACUUGGUCAUUUAGAGGAAGUAAAAGUCGUAACAAGGUUUCCGUAGGUGAACCUGCGGAAGGAUCAUUAAAGUAAUUUAUUUGGAUCAUCUUCGGAGAUUCAAAAAAUCUGACUUUGUGGUAUAAUUGAAAACUGUAUUGGAUUUAAAGAUGGUACCUUUAUAAAAAGGUAUCGAUCCAAGCUUUUUUAUCAACUCUCUUAUUAUUGGACUGAAUUUUAUCAAGUUAAACCUUAUUGGUUUAAAUAAAGUUUAAAUAACUUUCAACAACGGAUCUCUUGGUUCUCGCAUCGAUGAAGAACGCAGC